rnacentral:rRNA from 1 species
AGCUAGCAGAAUAACUUGUUAGUGAGCUCUGCCCAGUGAUUACUAUUUCAACGGCCGCAGUACACUGACUGUGCAAAGGUAGCAUAAUCAAUUGACUUUUAAUUGGAGUCCGGUAUGAAAGAGUUUUUGAAAAAAAGCUGUCUUUUCUUUUUUAUAGAGAACUUGCUGAGAAAGUGAAAAUUCUUUCGAUACAUUAAUAAAAGACGAGAAGACCCUAUGAAUUUUUACUAAUGGGCCUAUAAUCUUUAUGUUUUUGUUGGGGCAACAAGUCUACACAUUAACAAAAUUAGACUAAAAUAUUUAUUAAACCGAGUUAUAUUAAAAGAAAUUAAAUUACUAUAGGGAUAACAGCAUAAUUUUUUUAAUAAGAUUGUGACCUCGAUGUUGGAUUAGGAACUAUUUUGAUAAGUAAUUAAAAUAGAGGGUUCUGUUCGAACUUUUUUACCU